rnacentral:rRNA from 1 species
CCUACGGGGGGCUGCAGUGGGGAAUAUUGGACAAUGGGCGCAAGCCUGAUCCAGCAAUACCGCGUGUGUGAAGAAGGCCUUAGGGUUGUAAAGCACUUUCAAUAGGGAGGAAAACCUACCGGUCAAUACCCGGUAGCUUGACAUUACCUAUAGAAGAAGCACCGGCUAACUCCGUGCCAGCAGCCGCGGUAAUACGGAGGGUGCAAGCGUUAAUCGGAAUUACUGGGGGCGAAGCGUGAAUUGGCGGUUGAAAGCCCCGGGCUCAACCUGGGAACUGCAUUUGAAACUGGCGAACUAGAGUUGAGUAGAGGGGAGUGGAAUUUCAGGUGUAGCGGUGAAAUGCGUAGAUAUCUGAAGGAACACCAGUGGCGAAGGCGACUCCCUGGACUCAAACUGACGCUGAGGUACGAAAGCGUGGGUAGCAAACAGGAUUAGAUACCCCUGUAGUC